rnacentral:rRNA from 1 species
CAAAAACAUGUCCUUUUGUUUAUUUAUUUAAGGUCUGACCUGCCCAAUGAGGAAUUCAAUGGCCGCAGUAUUUUAACUGUGCUAAGGUAGCAUAAUCAUUUGUCUUUUAAUUGAGGGCUGGAAUGAAAGGUUGGACGAGAUAUUGACUUUCUUUAGUUUAAUUUUAAGAAUUUAAUUUUUGAGUUAAAAAGCUUAAAUUUAUUUGUUGGACGAGAAGACCCUAUAGAUCUUUAUAAUUUUAUAUUUUGAUAAUUUAGUGUGUAUGUUUAUUUUAAGUAAAAGAAUUAUUUGGUUGGGGUGACUGUAGAAUUUCAGUAACUUCUAUUGUAUUUAUUUCAUUGAUUGGUGUAUUUUUGAUCCAUAUUUUUAUGAUUAAAAGAUUAAGUUACCUUAGGGAUAACAGCGUAAUUUUUUCGGAGAGUUCAUAUUGAUGAAAGAGUUUGCGACCUCGAUGUUGGAUUAAAAUAAGUUAUAGGACGCAGGAGUCUAUAAACUAGGUCUGUUCGACCUUUAAAUUUUUACAUGAUCUGAGUUCAAACCGGAGA